UGGGGAAUAUUGGACAAUGGGCGCAAGCCUGAUCCAGCCAUGCCGCGUGUGUGAAGAAGGCCUUAUGGUUGUAAAGCACUUUAAGCGAGGAGGAGGCUACUUUAGUUAAUACCUAGAGAUAGUGGACGUUACUCGCAGAAUAAGCACCGGCUAACUCUGUGCCAGCAGCCGCGGUAAUACAGAGGGUGCAAGCGUUAAUCGGAUUUACUGGGCGUAAAGCGCGCGUAGGCGGCUAAUUAAGUCAAAUGUGAAAUCCCCGAGCUUAACUUGGGAAUUGCAUUCGAUACUGGUUAGCUAGAGUGUGGGAGACGAUGGUAGAAUUCCAGGUGUAGCGGUGAAAUGCGUAGAGAUCUGGAGGAAUACCGAUGGCGAAGGCAGCCAUCUGGCCUAACACUGACGCUGAGGUGCGAAAGCAUGGGGAGCAAACAGG
rnacentral:rRNA from 1 species